rnacentral:pre_miRNA from 1 species
UGAUUGUCCAAACGCAAUUCUUGUUUGCAAUUUUAUCAAGGACUGUGUGUGGACAUCAUC